UAGGGAAUCUUCGGCAAUGGACGAAAGUCUGACCGAGCAACGCCGCGUGAGUGAAGAAGGUCUUCGGAUCGUAAAACUCUGUUGUUAGAGAAGAACAAGGACGUUAGUAACUGAACGUCCCCUGACGGUAUCUAACCAGAAAGCCACGGCUAACUACGUGCCAGCAGCCGCGGUAUUUCGGAGGUGGCAAGCGUUGUCCGGAUUUAUUGGGCGUAAAGCGAGCGCAGGCGGUUUCUUAAGUCUGAUGUGAAAGCCCCCGGCUCAACCGGCGAGGGUCAUUGGAAACUGGGAGACUUAAGUGCAGAAGAGGAGAGUGGAAUUCCAUGUGUAGCGGUGAAAUGCGUAGAUAUAUGGAGAAACACCAGUGGCGAAGGCGGCUCUCUGGUCUGUAACUGACGCUGAGGCUCGAAAGCGUGGGGAGCAAACAGG
rnacentral:rRNA from 1 species